AUGAAUUAUCAGCAUUUGGGGUGGGGUGGGGGAGAAGAGAAGAAGAAAAUACAUUGGUUCACGUGGUGGAAAUUGUGUGUACUAAAGAAGAAGGGUGGAUUGGGGUUCAGGGAUCUUCAUAGCUUUAAUCUUGCUAUGUUAUCAAAGCAGUGGUUGCGUCUUCUCCAAAAUCUGAACUCAUUGUGUGCACGUGUAUUAAGUGCUAAAUAUUACACCAAUGGUGAUAUAUUAAAAGUUGGACCGAAGAACGGGUCGUCAUUUAUUUGGCAAAGUAUUGUGGCUCGAAUUCAGACUUUCAAGAGAGGUUGUAUGUUGCGAGUUGGAACGGGCUCGCAAAUAAAUAUUUGA
rnacentral:rRNA from 1 species